GAGUGCCACUGAAAAUUAGCAUGCAUGCCGCCUUUGGCACAUGUGCCAUAGGUUGCCUACCCCUGCCUUACACGUAUGCAGAGUCAUAGAUAUUCACUUCAGAGAGUGAAGUAGAUUCCAGUCUAUAUAGCACAUCAACAGAAUGGUUAAUCAUUACAAUUGCAGGUCCAAAUUCUGACAUUGUGCCUGUGCAAACCCAUUGAAGGCAAUGGGGUUGGCAAAGGUGUAAGUGAGGCCAUAAUUUGACAAGCAUAGGGUUAUCGGCCACAUGUGAUGGUGCACUCCGUCAAGGUAUUUUAGGGUGGAAGGACCCCAGGGACAGAAGGUCUUCCCAGAACGAUGUAGUGGUACAAGUGAGCAGCACUGGCUAAGGAGUGAGUGUGGCUGUGGUACAGGAGGUGCACUGACACGGCCUUUUCCAGUCAGCCUCUACUGGCAGGACUUCCCCAGAACUGUUCCCCAAGCAGCCAUUAAAGUUGUCUUAACCCUUGUGGCAGGAUGGUGGGGCAAACACAGUCUACUCUAUGCCAAGAGUUAAUCCUUAUCUCCUUGGGCAUAGCAACUCCCACUAGUUCAGGAAGUUGCAACUUGGAGUCCCUGCAUCAGGGAUGAACCAAGCACAAAGCCACACAGAAACUGACCUGCAGAAUCCUUUGCUCCUGGCACAUGAACCAGAAGAAAUCCAGAUUAACUUUCAGAACUCAAGGAAGUCCCCUACUGGUUAAAGUUUCUUCAGACCUUACUCCUCUUCCUGUCCUCUUCAACUAGUCCCCUGAAGUCUGGCUUCCUGAAACUCCUGGUGUUUUAUCCUUAUAGGUACACAUCCUUAUCAUGUGUGUCCCUCGCAUCAAGAAUCCUAAAAGUCUUGAACUCAGGCUGAAUGUAAUUUGAGCAACAGGUACACCCUGGGGAGGUCAAGUGGCAACAGUAACUGGAUGAAGGAAUGAGAUUGUAAAAAACGAAGAAAGAAAGAAAGUUUGGGGUUUUGUUUUUUUGUGGAGGGUCGUGGGGGGGGGGGAGAGGUUACUGUUCAUACAAAGGUUUGGCUACCCAAAAGAGUUGCAAGUUCAGACUAGGACCUGAACUAGUUUUGCCUAUUGCUAGGUUAUAUAUGAUCAUGUUGUAUUUUGGUAAAGUCAUUUAUUAAUUUAAUUAUGUCUAAUCUUACAACUCGUUUAAAAGUAAUCAAGCAAAUAACUGUAAAGCUCUUUUUUUUCCUUUUUUUUUGUUUUAGUUUAAAGCCCUGUCUUUUGGAAUUCCAAGUUCUAAAUUGUAGCAUAUUG